UACGUAGGGGGCUAGCGUUGUCCGGAAUCAUUGGGCGUAAAGCGCGUGUAGGCGGUCCGGUAAGUCCGCUGUGAAAGUCGGGGGCUCAACCCUCGGAUGCCGGUGGAUACUGUCGGGCUUGAGUACGGAAGAGGCGAGUGGAAUUCCUGGUGUAGCGGUGAAAUGCGCAGAUAUCAGGAGGAACACCAAUUGCGAAGGCAGCUCGCUGGACGUUACUGACGCUGGAGACGCGAAAGCGUGGGAGCAAACAGG
rnacentral:rRNA from 1 species